rnacentral:rRNA from 1 species
GGUACGAUUUGCCUGGUCCACGUGCGUCAGCACGCGAGUAUCGGAGCGAUUCUGCCAUCCUUCUAGCAAUCUGGCUAUACUUAACUGUGUGGUCAGCAUUCUAGAUCUUUUACUUUGAAAAAAUUAGAGUGUUUAAAGCAGGCUUGCGCUAUGAAUACAUUAGCAUGGAAUAAUAAUUUAGGACUUUGCUCCUAUUUUAUUGGCUUCUAGGGGUAAAGUA